GUGCCAGCCGCCGCGGUAAUACGUAGGGGGCAAGCGUUGUCCGGAUUUAUUGGGCGUAAAGCGCUCGCAGGUGGUUCGUUGCGUCGUGCGUGAAAGACCCCGGCUCAACUGGGGAGGGUCGUGCGAUACGGGCGAACUGGAGGCCAGUAGGGGGAUGCGGAAUUCCGGGUGUAGUGGUGGAAUGCGUAGAGAUCCGGAGGAACACCAGCGGCGAAGGCGGCAUCCUGGACUGGUCCUGACACUCAGGAGCGAAAGCGUGGGGAGCGAUCCGGAUUAGAAACCCCCGUAGUCC
rnacentral:rRNA from 1 species